rnacentral:ncRNA from 1 species
AUGGGUCCGCAACCGCGGAGACCCCCGGACGAGGAACGUCGUACCCGGCACGACAAGACGGCGCACU